rnacentral:ncRNA from 1 species
AUCAAGCAUAAACUACCUUAUAUAUCUUUGAGAAUAAGGCUCAAAAGUUUCUACCUAGUUACCGUAAAUAACUAGACUAUAAGGAAAUCAAA